UUAUAGCUUGCUAUGAUAGAAAUUAGUGGCAGACGGGUGAGUAAUGCAUAGGAAUCUACCUAGUAGUAUGGGAUAGCCACUAGAAAUGGUGGGUAAUACUGUAUAAUCCCUGCGGGGGAAAGAUUUAUCGCUAUUAGAUGAGCCUAUGUUAGAUUAGCUAGUUGGUAGGGUAAAGGCCUACCAAGGCAGUGAUCUAUAGCUGGUCUGAGAGGAUGAUCAGCCACACUGGAACUGAGAUACGGUCCAGACUCCUACGGGAGGCAGCAGUGGGGAAUAUUGGACAAUGGGCGCAAGCCUGAUCCAGCUAUGCCGCGUGAGUGAGGAAGGCCUUAGGGUUGUAAAACUCUUUCAGUGGGGAAGAUAAUGACGGUACCCACAGAAGAAGUCCCG
rnacentral:rRNA from 1 species